rnacentral:rRNA from 1 species
GGUUAAGCGACUAAGCGUACACGGUGGAUGCCCUGGCAGUCAGAGGCGAUGAAGGACGUGCUAAUCUGCGAUAAGCGUCGGUAAGGUGAUAUGAACCGUUAUAACCGGCGAUUUCCGAAUGGGGAAACCCAGUGUGAUUCGUCACACUAUCAUUAACUGAAUCCAUAGGUUAAUGAGGCGAACCGGGGGAACUGAAACAUCUAAGUACCCCGAGGAAAAGAAAUCAACCGAGAUUCCCCCAGUAGCGGCGAGCGAACGGGGAGGAGCCCAGAGCCUGAAUCAGUGUGUGUGUUAGUGGAAGCGUCUGGAAAGGCGCGCGAUACAGGGUGACAGCCCCGUACACAAAAAUGCACAUACUGUGAGCUCGAUGAGUAGGGCGGGACACGUGGUAUCCUGUCUGAAUAUGGGGGGACCAUCCUCCAAGGCUAAAUACUCCUGACUGACCGAUAGUGAACCAGUACCGUGAGGGAAAGGCGAAAAGAACCCCGGCGAGGGGAGUGAAAAAGAACCUGAAACCGUGUACGUACAAGCAGUGGGAGCCUCUUUAUGGGGUGACUGCGUACCUUUUGUAUAAUGGGUCAGCGACUUAUAUUCUGUAGCAAGGUUAACCGAAUAGGGGAGCCGAAGGGAAACCGAGUCUUAACUGGGCGUUAAGUUGCAGGGUAUAGACCCGAAACCCGGUGAUCUAGCCAUGGGCAGGUUGAAGGUUGGGUAACACUAACUGGAGGACCGAACCGACUAAUGUUGAAAAAUUAGCGGAUGACUUGUGGCUGGGGGUGAAAGGCCAAUCAAACCGGGAGAUAGCUGGUUCUCCCCGAAAGCUAUUUAGGUAGCGCCUCGUGAAUUCAUCUCCGGGGGUAGAGCACUGUUUCGGCAAGGGGGUCAUCCCGACUUACCAACCCGAUGCAAACUGCGAAUACCGGAGAAUGUUAUCACGGGAGACACACGGCGGGUGCUAACGUCCGUCGUGAAGAGGGAAACAACCCAGACCGCCAGCUAAGGUCCCAAAGUCAUGGUUAAGUGGGAAACGAUGUGGGAAGGCCCAGACAGCCAGGAUGUUGGCUUAGAAGCAGCCAUCAUUUAAAGAAAGCGUAAUAGCUCACUGGUCGAGUCGGCCUGCGCGGAAGAUGUAACGGGGCUAAACCAUGCACCGAAGCUGCGGCAGCGACACUAUGUGUUGUUGGGUAGGGGAGCG